UCAUUUCGCUAGGGGCGCUUAUUUAAGCUGAGAGAAGGUUAUACUUUCGACCCUUUGAACCUGAUCCAGUUCAUACUGGCGUAGGGAAGCGGUGUGGAUCUAUU
rnacentral:ncRNA from 1 species